CAACUUUCAACAACGGAUCUCUUGGCUCUCGCAUCGAUGAAGAACGCAGCGAAAUGCGAUAAGUAAUGUGAAUUGCAGAAUUCAGUGAAUCAUCGAAUCUUUGAACGCACCUUGCGCCCUUUGGUAUUCCGAAGGGCACACCUGUUUGAGUGUCGUGA
rnacentral:rRNA from 7 species